UACGGAGGGUGCAAGCGUUAUCCGGAUUCACUGGGUUUAAAGGGUGCGUAGGAGGGCAGGUAAGUCAGUGGUGAAAUCUCCGGGCUUAACCCGGAAACUGCCGUUGAUACUACCGGUCUUGAAUAUCGUGGAGGUGAGCGGAAUAUGUCGUGUAGCGGUGAAAUGCUUAGAUAUGACAUAGAACACCCAUUGCGAAGGCAGCUCACUACCCGAAUAUUGACUCUGAGGCACGAAAGCGUGGGGAGCGAACAGG
rnacentral:rRNA from 1 species